CCUUGCUUUCCACUCAAAAACUGUAAGUAGGGUUCUUUGAUAAGAUGCUCCAACCAUGGCCAGGCAUGGUGGCUGGCGCCUGUAAUCCCAGCACUUUGGGAGGCUGAGGCGGGUGGAUCAUGAGUUGCAGGAGGUGUGAUUUGAUUUGUGUGAAGGCAAUGAAAUGAUACACAGAUACACCGAAGCCUCCCAAAAGAAUCCUGUUUCCAAGAUUCAAGAAGAUGGAUUAAUAUUUUUCCAUUAAUUGUUUGAAAUUGUGUCAUUUUUUCACUAUGUGUCAUCAAUUUUAAAGCACUUCUGAAAAGACAUAACAAUCUACAUGAGAUGGCAUUUUAAACUCAUAAAAAUAUAGUAUUUUCCUCAACUUUUAUACAUUUAUGAUGCAUUAUUUCUGAUUUCCCAGGAAUUUUACUUUCCUUUGUUUUGAAUGAUUAAAAAGGAAACAUAGCACCUUUUUUCAGCACAUCAUCAAGGUAGCCUAGUUAUUAUUCUUCUCUUUAUGAAGUAACUGAAUUGGGACAGACAGCCUGCCAGGCCUGGCCACUUGUCAGCAUUGCAUCCCUACAGUCAACCACACUUGCAUCUAAUGACCAUCUCUUUUGUUAAAUUUCUUUGGCACCUUUUCUUCCUGAAUGAAUGCAUGAUAGUUAAUUUUCCUGUUCACUUGCAUGUCUCAAGAAGGUUUUAAUUCUUUUUAUAUUGCAUUAAUAUUUCAGUUAAGUUUAUAAUUGCAAAAUGAUUUAUACUCA